rnacentral:rRNA from 1 species
UACAGAGGGUGCGAGCGUUGUUCGGAAUUAUUGGGCGUAAAGAGCUCGUAGGCGGUGUGUCGCGUCGGCCGUGAAAACCUGCAGCUUAACUGUGGGCUUGCGGUCGAUACGGGCAUCACUGGAGUUCGGCAGGGGAGACUGGAAUCCUGGUGUAGCGGUGAAAUGCGCAGAUAUCAGGAGGAACACCGGUGGCGAAGGCGGGUCUCUGGGCCGAUACUGACGCUGAGGAGCGAAAGCGUGGGGAGCGAACAGG